UUUAGGGUAAAAAUAGAAAGUUGUGUUAAAUUUAUGUCUUUAAUGCUUUCUCCUUAAUAUAUGUGCCAAAAUCCAACAAUUCAUUUAUUAUGAAACGGAGAAAAUAGUAUUUAUAUUGUGCAAGCUGCUAUGUCUGAAAUACUCUGAGAUUGCGCUUCUUUCAUAUAUAAUAAACUCCUACAGCCAAACUCAUCAUGUAUAUGUGUUCUUUGACUGUGCUGUUGUGCGCAUGCUUCGUAGUCCACUGAAUUUCACCAAAUUAGCCUUGUGGUUGUUUCAUCACUCAUUGCCAAGUUAAUACUUUAUUCCAAACUGCACCUGAAACUGAAAGUUAAUGCUUAUUUUUGUAAGAGGAGAAAGAAAGAAAGCCUUGAAGUCGUCCGAUAUUUGUAAAAAGACACUUUACUUUUGAUGACAACUUAUUACCUCACAAAAGUGAUACAAACUGUUGUAAAUAGAUCAUUUUGAUUGAUUUUUAGCCCAUGUUUGCAUUCACGCAAAGAACGGACGUGAGGCUGAAAAAUUUGCUGCAACCACCAGUUAAAAAAUGCUACGUGUAAUUUUUUUGAUCAAUUAUUUUAAACAUCUAUCUUAUCUUCUCUUCUCUUUAAGGGAAUCAAUUUUUCAAAAUCUCCGUUAAAAGAGGCUUGAAGCUUUGAAAAAAAAAAAAAAACUCUCUUUCUCAAGGUAAUCUCAAUUGAACUAAAAAUAUAUUUUCCCUCAAACAUUAAAAAAUACAAUCUUUAACAAAAAUUAAUUAAAUACGAGAAAUCUAACCUGAUAAUCUUCAAUUCUUCAUGAAAUCGACCAAUCAAAUUUCUAAAUUACGUACACAACAUUGUUAAUCCACCAACCAAACUCAGUCGAUAGAAAAAAGAGAGAAAAUAAGGAGAGUAAAGGAGGAAAAUAUGUGAUAUGAGUGAGUAGAUGAAAGGUUUAAUCGGGUUAAACCCGUCCUAAAUUCACGAUUUACUUUAAUUAAUUAAAUAAAUAAAAAAUU
rnacentral:lncRNA from 1 species